rnacentral:rRNA from 1 species
UAAUACGGAGGUGGCGAGCGUUGUUCGGAAUUACUGGGCGUAAAGGGCGCGUAGGCGGGGGGAGAAGUCGGGUGUGAAAGCCCUCGGCUCAACCGAGGAACGGCGCUCGAGACUCUCUCUCUUGAGUCCCGGAGAGGACGAUGGAAUUCCCGGUGUAGCGGUGAAAUGUGUAGAGAUCGGGAGGAACACCGGUGGCGAAGGCGGUCGUCUGGACGGUGACUGACGCUGAGGCGCGAAAGCGUGGGGAGCAAACGGGAUUAGAUACCCCGGUAGUCCACGCGGUAAACGAUGGGUGCUAGGUGUGGGGGGUAUCGACCCCCUCCGUGCCGAAGCUAACGCAUUAAGCACCCCGCCUGGGGAGUACGGCCGCAAGGUUG